rnacentral:rRNA from 1 species
UACGAAGGGUGCAAGCGUUACUCGGAAUUACUGGGCGUAAAGCGUGCGCAGGCGGUUUUGUAAGUCAGAUGUGAAAUCCCCGGGCUUAACCUGGGAACUGCGUUUGAAACUACAAGGCUAGAGUGUGGCAGAGGGGGGUGGAAUUCCACGUGUAGCAGUGAAAUGCGUAGAGAUGUGGAGGAACACCGAUGGCGAAGGCAGCCCCCUGGGUUAACACUGACGCUCAGGCACGAAAGCGUGGGGAGCAAACAGG